rnacentral:tRNA from 1 species
UGUUCUGGGGCUUAGUUGUUUAAAGCGCCGGUCAAGCGAAUUCGGAGUCGUGGGUUCUAAUCCCACCUUAACGC